UAUGUCGUUAAAUUAGCGCGAAAAAUUGGCAAACUUUACGUGCUUGUUGUUUUCUGUGAAAAAAAGAUUAAUAAAUAUGAAAAUGGAAAUUCCUUGCAAAGAUUUGAACUAACAAUUGUGUUUGUGUUUUGUGGAGUAUAACUUAUUAAUAGCACAGACUUGCAAAAGAGUAAGAACGAGAAAUUGAUUACAAAAGUGUCCUUAUUGUCAUACAACUAACCGUUUUUGCUCAUUUUUGCUCCUUUUCGCAAAACUUGCGUUUAUGUAGAGACAUAUGUGUUUGGUCACGGGGCUCUUCUUGCAGUUUGGGAAAGCAACAAACGCUCGCGAGAAGCAUUGGAAACUUACAUAUACGCCAAAUUGAAUGCCGAUCAUCAAAAUGAAACAAUAAUAAAAACAAUAUCAACUAAAAUUACUAACUUUAUAAAUUACAUAAAUAAACAUUUGCCUCGAUGCUGCCGAAACAUAAAGCGAUUUAGACAAAAACACGCUAUGUGGCUAGCCGGUAAUAUGACUAUACUUUCUGAUAGAAAUGAAUCCCCACAGAAGAAAGGUGGUCGUCCAAAAUUGUCAUAUGAAGCUGCUGGUAAACGACUCAAAAUAAAGUUGGCAUCUGAACUUGCGGUAGAAAAUGAAAAUUCUACUCCUUUGUUACUACACGCUGCUAACAUUUCCGCCAGAAAAUCAACAGUAAAUGAAAUUAUUAAAAGAAGUGAUAGAACUGAAUCGCUGGCUCCGAGUCCAAUAACUUCUGAAAAGGCAUUCGCUUUUUUUAUGGAAAAUGGAUUUACUAAGCAGCAAUACAUAAAUGUAAAACAAAUUAGUAAACAACAUGGCUGCGAUAUUUACCCCCCUUAUUCGAAAAUAGCUGAGGAGAAAUUAAAAUGUAGACCUUCUGGAAUAGCAUGGACCGAAAAUGAAGCCAAAGUUCACAGAGCUAUGGAUUCGUCUGAUCCCCUAUUAUCUAGUUUUUGCUCAACAAAAACCAACCGGAUGCCUCUGCCAGCAGAGGUUGUAGAUCUUUUGGAUUCGCCAAUCAUAUCCCCAGGCACAGAAGACACAGAUGAAGAAAAUUGUAACGAUGAUGUAAGUGACACUUUUGAAAUAGAAUUAGAGGAAGAGGUACCAGACGAUAUUGAAAACUAAAAAACAAGGAAAAAAUAAGAAGAUGUUCUUCAAAUGUAACAAUGGAUCCCAAAUAUGUUACCGGUUUUUUUCUAUAAUGUAACACCAAAUAGGAUUAAAAUUAUAAUUUAUAAU